UGGUGCUAAAGAACCAUAUUGAAAUCGGGUUUCGACAGCAGCGGUCUGUAAUUUUUCAAACCAUAAGUUCGUUGUCGACGAAACCUGCAUAUAAUGUGGUUUAAACAACUU
rnacentral:pre_miRNA from 1 species